GACGAACGCUGGCGGCGUGCCUAAUACAUGCAAGUCGAACGAACUCUGGUAUUGAUUGGUGCUUGCAUCAUGAUUUUCAUUUGAGUGAGUGGCGAACUGGUGAGUAACACGUGGGAAACCUGCCCAGAAGCGGGGGAUAACACCUGGAAACAGAUGCUAAUACCGCAUAACAACUUGGACCGCAUGGUCCGAGUUUGAAAGAUGGCUUCGGCUAUCACUUUUGGAUGGUCCCGCGGCGUAUUAGCUAGAUGGUGGGGUAACGGCUCACCAUGGCAAUGAUACGUAGCCGACCUGAGAGGGUAAUCGGCCACAUUGGGACUGAGACACGGCCCAAACUCCUACGGGAGGCAGCAGUAGGGAAUCUUCCACAAUGGACGAAAGUCUGAUGGAGCAACGCCGCGUGAGUGAAGAAGGGUUUCGGCUCGUAAAACUCUGUUGUUAAAGAAGAACAUAUCUGAGAGUAACUGUUCAGGUAUUGACGGUAUUUAACCAGAAAGCCACGGCUAACUACGUGCCAGCAGCCGCGGUAAUACGUAGGUGGCAAGCGUUGUCCGGAUUUAUUGGGCGUAAAGCGAGCGCAGGCGGUUUUUUAAGUCUGAUGUGAAAGCCUUCGGCUCAACCGAAGAAGUGCAUCGGAAACUGGGAAACUUGAGUGCAGAAGAGGACAGUGGAACUCCAUGUGUAGCGGUGAAAUGCGUAGAUAUAUGGAAGAACACCAGUGGCGAAGGCGGCUGUCUGGUCUGUAACUGACGCUGAGGCUCGAAAGUAUGGGUAGCAGACAGGAUUAGAUACCCUGCUAGUCCAUACCGUAAACGAUGAAUGCUAAAGGUGUUGGAGGGUUUCCGCCCUUCAGUGCUGCAGCUAACGCAUUAAGCAUUCCGCCUGGGGAGUACGGCCGCAAGGCUGAAACUCAAAGGAAUUGACGGGGGCCCGCACAAGCGGUGGAGCAUGUGGUUUAAUUCGAAGCUACGCGAAGAACCUUACCAGGUCUUGACAUACUAUGCAAAUCUAAGAGAUUAGACGUUCCCUUCGGGGACAUGGAUACAGGUGGUGCAUGGUUGUCGUCAGCUCGUGUCGUGAGAUGUUGGGUUAAGUCCCGCAACGAGCGCAACCCUUAUUAUCAGUUGCCAGCAUUAAGUUGGGCACUCUGGUGAGACUGCCGGUGACAAACCGGAGGAAGGUGGGGAUGACGUCAAAUCAUCAUGCCCCUUGUGACCUGGGCUACACACGUGCUACAAUGGAUGGUACAACGAGUUGCGAACUCGCGAGAGUAAGCUAAUCUCUUAAAGCCAUUCUCAGUUCGGAUUGUAGGCUGCAACUCGCCUACAUGAAGUCGGAAUCGCUAGUAAUCGCGGAUCAGCAUGCCGCGGUGAAUACGUUCCCGGGCCUUGUACACACCGCCCGUCACACCAUGAGAGUUUGUAACACCCAAAGUCGGUGGGGUAACCUUUUAGGAACCAGCCGCCUAAGGUGGGACAGAUGAUUAGGGUG
rnacentral:rRNA from 1 species